UGGGGAAUUUUGGACAAUGGGCGAAAGCCUGAUCCAGCAAUGCCGCGUGUGUGAAGAAGGCCUUCGGGUUGUAAAGCACUUUUGUCCGGAAAGAAAUCCUUGGCUCUAAUACAGUCGGGGGAUGACGGUACCGGAAGAAUAAGCACCGGCUAACUACGUGCCAGCAGCCGCGGUAAUACGUAGGGUGCAAGCGUUAAUCGGAAUUACUGGGCGUAAAGCGUGCGCAGGCGGUUUGCUAAGACCGAUGUGAAAUCCCCGGGCUCAACCUGGGAACUGCAUUGGUGACUGGCAGGCUAGAGUAUGGCAGAGGGGGGUAGAAUUCCACGUGUAGCAGUGAAAUGCGUAGAGAUGUGGAGGAAUACCGAUGGCGAAGGCAGCCCCCUGGGCCAAAUACUGACGCUCAUGCACGAAAGCGUGGGGGAGCAAACAGGAUUAGAUACCCUGGGUAGUCCACGCCCUAAACGAUGUCAACUAGUUGUUGGGGAUUCAUUUCCUUAGUAACGUAGCUAACGCGUGAAGUUGACCGCCUGGGGAGUACGGUCGCAAGAUUAAAACUCAAAUGAAUUGACGGGGUCAUA
rnacentral:rRNA from 1 species